CCUACGGGUGGCAGCAGUGAGGAAUAUUGGUCAAUGGACGAGAGUCUGAACCAGCCAAGUAGCGUGAAGGAUGACUGCCCUAUGGGUUGUAAACUUCUUUUAUAAAGGAAUAAAACGAGGCACGUGUGCCUUUUUGUAUGUACUUUAUGAAUAAGGAUCGGCUAACUCCGUGCCAGCAGCCGCGGUAAUACGGAGGAUCCGAGCGUUAUCCGGAUUUAUUGGGUUUAAAGGGAGCGUAGAUGGAUUGUUAAGUCAGUUGUGAAAGUUUGCGGCUCAACCGUAAAAUUGCAAUUGAUACUGGCAGUCUUGAGUACAGUAGAGGUGGGCGGAAUUCGUGGUGUAGCGGUGAAAUGCUUAGAUAUCACGAAGAACCCCGAUUGCGAAGGCAGCUUACUAAACUGUGACUGACAUUGAUGCUCGAAAGUGUGGGUAUCAAACAGGAUUAGAUACCCCAGUAGUC
rnacentral:rRNA from 1 species